GUUUGAUCUUCCGCCAUCCCAGAUGGUUAAGUUCAGCCAGAUUGAGCACCACACAAAUGCCGCUCACAGCAAACAUGAACACCAGAAAGACCGUCUUCUCGCGCUUACCAGUCCUUGAAUGGGGGAGCUGUCCACCCUUGAGUGGUACUGAACUGAGAGCCUGGAAAACAAUUUUAUCUCUUCCUUUUCUGCUCGGUGCUGGUUCCACAUCGAACCUGUUAACUGCUUGACUUCAAAUAUUUGGCAGAGGUGGCAUUGCUGUUCACUAAGGUCUCCAGUCCAUAGUUUAAAUCUCCAUGCCAUGUGUGUAAUAGACCUUCAUGAAAUGAUGACCAAGUUCUGAAUGUAACUUCUGAGACUACCUGGAGUCAUUCUUCAAAUAUGCCAAGAGGUGUUUUCUAGACUAGAAUGUGAAGACAUGGAAGGGACAAUAAUGGUGUAAAGUGAUGAUAAGGCUGUGGCUGGCCAAAAUCAUGCUGGGGAAGUAGGAUGGCAGGGGAGUAGGGACUCCUUUGCUGUUUACUCGUCCAACUCUAAGAAAUGACCUGCUGAGUGGAUAGGGUAAGACUUGUUCAUUCCUGAUUCUCUAAUGAGACUGUCAUGGCCUCUGAGCAAGAUUGUUGGCAUCCUCGUAUUGAGUAAACAUUGUAUCAGUAGAA